GACGAACGCUGGCGGCGUGCUUAACACAUGCAAGUCGAACGGAAAGGCCCUGCUUUUGUGGGGUGCUCGAGUGGCGAACGGGUGAGUAACACGUGAGUAACCUGCCCUUGACUUUGGGAUAACUUCAGGAAACUGGGGCUAAUACCGGAUAGGAGCUCCUGCUGCAUGGUGUGGGUUGGAAAGUUUCGGCGGUUGGGGAUGGACUCGCGGCUUAUCAGCUUGUUGGUGGGGUAGUGGCUUACCAAGGCUUUGACGGGUAGCCGGCCUGAGGGGGUGACCGGCCACAUUGGGACUGAGAUACGGCCCAGACUCCUACGGGAGGCAGCAGUGGGGAAUAUUGCACAAUGGGCGGAAGCCUGAUGCAGCAACGCCGCGUGCGGGAUGACGGCCUUCGGGUUGUAAACCGCUUUCGCCUGUGACGAAGCGUGAGUGACGGUAAUGGGUAAAGAAGCACCGGCUAACUACGUG
rnacentral:rRNA from 1 species